rnacentral:ncRNA from 2 species
CAGAGUAGGUGACAGCGAGUUUCGCAAGUGUUGAGGAUACAGGGAGUUGAUCCUCAAACGAAAACUCAGCCGUGAAUGAGCGUAAAUUCCGUACAGGGCUGCGCUGGUUCAGGAAGAGGUUGCUGUGCGGUCACCGCAUCCCGCUGU